ACCAUCGUGCCCAGAGCAGAUCGAUCUCCGCCGCCGACCAGACCUUCGCACGCUCGAUCUCAUGCCCGAUCGCACGCCCGAUCCACCCCUACUUCCCCUCCCCGGCCGAUCCAUCCCGGUGCCGCGGCCGAUCCACCCCUACGCCCCUUCCGAUGUUCUUCGUAGCCGCCGCCCACGUAGGAACUUGUUCGUUGCCGCCGCCGCCGCGUCUCCAGGGCAGGGCGGCUUUAAUCCCUGUCGCCGGGAUCGCCCCCGCCGAACUCCGGGCCAUGGCGGCGACCAGCGCCGGGAUAGGACCAGGAGGCCGCCGGCGUCUCCCUGAUCCGUGACCCCGACGCCAUGGAGAUGCUCGUCAAGGCACGCGCGGGACCAGCGGCAGGAAGGGCAGAGAGGAGGACCGAGCCCGCCGGUGCGCGUGGCCAAGGGAUGUACCUGCCCGGAGCUACUUCGCCCUCAGUGCGGCGGCCGUGUAUAUGGAAUUGUGCCCUGGUGGGGGCUCCGAGGGAGGAAACCGAUGAGCACAAGGCGCUACUGCCAUAGCGUCCGGAGGGAGGCAUGACGUGCAGGGCUACAGGGAAUCCGCCGAUGACAUAUGUGGCUUCUCCUAUGCCUGAUGGUGCUGUCAUUGCAGCGGCGGCAGCGGAUCUGAGUCCUACCCGUCGGGAUCGAACGACAGAUGGCGUGAGGGAGCUGGAUGCGAGUCCCACUCCCAACCUGAGGGCUCGACCUUCUCGAUUCCUGGCUGCGGCGGGUGCGGAACUCCGAAGUGAUGGUGAACUCGCCGGUGUCGCACUGCCCCCACACAAGCGCCAUCAGAAAGCACUUCGCUCUGUUGCACACAAGCAAUAACUAUUUCUGCACCGAUCUGUCCGAAGAUAUAAAGUUUGAACCAGCCCUUAGCUUGCAUUUGGUCAGUUCAUCUUUCAGGAGAAUAUGCAUCUUACUUAGUUCGAGGUGAAAUUUUGUUUGUCGCGUCAGGAAUAAAAAAAAUAUGGUGCCUCCGUAUCUUUAUAUAAAGUCCUUACUAUAUAUGUUGCCCUCUUCCAUUGAAUUGGAUGUAAUAUUGUGUACACUUAAUGUCGAGACUAAUGUCUAUCGCCAAUUUCAGUAUAGUCGAAACAUAUUGAUGGCACUGAAAAUGAUUCUGCUUUUGCAGGUCUGACCUGACUCUUCUUUGUACGUAUGUAAUUGGUUUAUUUCUUGAUAGGUUGGUACUCUCUGAAUUUCUUGAUGAGCGUUCCCGUUGCUGCACUGCAUUGUGGCCGAGUCCUCUUCUUGGUCAUGCCAGUGACAUGAGCAGGAUGGUGUAUACCGGCUUCCCAGACAUGUGUCUGUCGAGGCCGCACCGGGUUUGUGGAGGUGAUGGCACGAGUAUUUACCAGGAUGCUUGGAGAUGCGUUGGCAUAUGUCCAGAACAACCUGGUCCACGCAUGGGGUCUGACUUGAAUAUUUCAGGAGAUGACUAGAUGUAAAUUUGACUUUCAGAUAAUACAUCUGUCAAUUGCGCAAAAUCAUAUAGAGCAGAUGGGCAUCGUUGACACGUAGUGCAUGACACAUUGCGUGAUUAAGAUGCUCUUAGGCCAGCUGAGUAACAUAAGACAACUUUUGUAUGAAGAUCGGUUGUUCGGUUUCAUUCUGACAGUUUAGAAGCUUUUGUUUGGCGUUUCUCUCAGCCGGAUAAUAGAGAAAAAGAGACUUACGCAGGCAUCAAGACUCUUUGAAGUCAUAAUAUCCAGCUUCACCUUCAAAUGUCGACGUUCUACCAUGAUUGUGCAAUAUAUUUCAAGGCCCAUGAUAAAACUGAAAGAGCAUCAAGGGUUUUACAAGUCAUGGUGGCCCGGUUUUGCUGGCGUUGUGGUCCAUGCAUACCAAUUCUUUGAAUCAGUGCCACCAUGCAGUGAUGUAAGAAAAAGGUGUGUCGUUUGUCGACUGUGGGCAAUGGAGUGAUGUAGAUGUACUGUAGAGUACAUAUUCAAGGGAACAGUGAGGUGACUUUAGAUAGCUGUAAUGAGCUGAUGGAGCCUUUGACCUGAAGUUAUAUUUGUAUAGAUUACAUGAUUUGUUGAUGAGGAUAAGAAAGAGGAGCUGAUGGCAAACCAACCGAGGAAGGUAACCGAAGAUUGAGGUUGGGCGCAAUGCCACAUCAGAAGUUAUUUAGGCUAUGGGUGAGUUCGGGGCCAUGGAGUGAGCCGAUAGGAGGGUCGAGUAUGGUGCAUACAUGUCAACGUUGGUAGUCAGAACUUGAUGCUGAGUGCGGAUGGGAAUGAUGGAGCGAGGAUGGGCGUGCUUUAGUCUAGCAAUUUGUCAUUGCCAAAUGGUUCAAUCCCGGUGAUGUCAUUGCUGGAUAUGCAAGGUCUCACUGGGCAAGGUAUUUGAAGUUCUUAAGUGCUUAGGAACCUCGCUGUGCUUUCGUAUUGACGUGAUUAGCAAGUGUAUUUACCGAAGCAUAGAUUUAAUGCUGGUUAUGUGUAGCACCGAAUCUGAGGUGGCUCCAAUCCAGUCAGUUCUGGCAUUGGAGAGUUAAGAGUGAAUCAGACUUAAUCAGAUGGCAUCAACACUGUGUUAAUCAUUGGAAGGUAUGCCGAGCGUUUGGGAAGAGAAGAAUGGUGCCAAUACAUACUUUUGGUUCUUAACCCAGAUGAUCUCAUUUAAAAUUGCUGGCGUUUGUUAUAAUCAUUCUUGAUGAGCUGCACAACGCUUCAUGUAUUGCACUACUAAUGUCGUUUAUUGGGUGGUCAAACUCCUGUUCCACUCCUAUAUAGAUGCUAUGUAAAUAAUUUGUUUUGUUUACUAAAAUCUGAAUAUUAGUGAAUC